rnacentral:rRNA from 1 species
AUUGAACGCUGGCGGCAUGCCUUACACAUGCAAGUCGAACGGCAGCACGGAGCUUGCUCUGGUGGCGAGUGGCGAACGGGUGAGUAAUAUAUCGGAACGUACCCAAGAGUGGGGGAUAACGUAGCGAAAGUUACGCUAAUACCGCAUACGAUCUAAGGAUGAAAGUGGGGGAUCGCAAGACCUCAUGCUCCUGGAGCGGCCGAUAUCUGAUUAGCUAGUUGGUGAGGUAAAGGCUUACCAAGGCAUCGAUCAGUAGCUGGUCUGAGAGGACGACCAGCCACACCGGAACUGAGACACGGUCCAGACUCCUACGGGAGGCAGCAGUGGGGAAUUUUGGACAAUGGGGGCAACCCUGAUCCAGCAAUGCCGCGUGAGUGAAGAAGGCCUUCGGGUUGUAAAGCUCUUUUGUCAGGGAAGAAACGGUGAAGGCUAAUAUCCUUUGCUAAUGACGGUACCUGAAGAAUAAGCACCGGCUAACUACGUGCCAGCCGCCGCGGUAACAC